rnacentral:rRNA from 1 species
GGAGGGGUGCAAGCGUUGUUCGGAAUCACUGGGCGUAAAGCGCGUGCAGGCGGCUGGUUAAGUCUGGGUGUGAAAGCCCGGGGCUCACCCCCGGAAGUGCGCUGGAAACUGGCCAGCUAGAGUAUGGGAGAGGGAAGUGGAAUUCCUGGUGUAGCGGUGAAAUGCGUAGAUAUCAGGAGGAACACCGGCGGCGAAGGCGGCUUCCUGGACCAACACUGACGCUGAGACGCGAAAGCGUGGGGAGCAAACAGGAUUAGAUACCCUGGUAGUCCACGCUGUAAACGAUGGGUACUAGGUGGCGCGGGUGUUGACCCCUGCGCUGCCGUAGCUAACGCAUUAAGUACCCCGCCUGGGGACUACGGUCGCAAGAUUA